UACAGAGGGUGCGAGCGUUAAUCGGAAUUACUGGGCGUAAAGCGCACGUAGGUGGCGACGUAAGUCGGGUGUGAAAGCCCCGGGCUCAACCUGGGAAUUGCAUUCGAGACUGCAUUGCUGGAGUACGGAAGAGGAAGGCGGAAUUCCCGGUGUAGCGGUGAAAUGCGUAGAUAUCAGGAGGAACACCGAUGGCGAAGGCAGGUCACUGGGCCGCAACUGACGCUGAGGAGCGAAAGCAUGGGGAGCGAACAGG
rnacentral:rRNA from 1 species